CAAGAGUGAACCACCUGAUCCCUUCCCGAACUCAGAAGUGAAACCUCUUAGCGCUGAUGGUAGUGUGGGGUUACCCAUGUGAGAGUAAGUCAUCGCCAGCUC
rnacentral:rRNA from 1 species